rnacentral:tmRNA from 1 species
GGGGGCGACCGGCUUCGACGAGACGAACCGAGUCAUUGGGAAGCAUGCCGAGGGCUGCCGCCUCGUUAAACAGGCAGACAAACACAGUCGGCAACGACUUCAACUACUCUCUGGCUGCCUAAUAACAGCCGGCGUCUUUCAAGUCAGUUCCUGCGGGACUUGACGGACGACACUUAGCAGGAUGGCUGAAGGGGCUCCGUCCGAAGGACCUGUCGGCGAGAUCAACCGGACUGGCCGGGUCGUGGCGGGCUGACAGUCUGCGACCGGGCGAGAUGCAAUUACUGUAAGCUAAGCAUGUAGAUGCCCGUGAUAGGCGUUCUCGGACGUGGGUUCGAUUCCCACCGCCUCCACCA